rnacentral:lncRNA from 10 species
CUAGAGAUGGGUUUCACCAUGGUGAUCAGGAUGGUCUCGAACUCCUGACCUCAAGUGAUCCACCCACCUUGGCCUCCCAAAGUGCUGGGAUUACAGGCGUAAGCCACUGUGCCCAGUCCCUAUUUUCCUUUUUCUACCUGUCUGCCCUCAGGUAGACACAAACCUCAUGCCCUCACCACCUUCAAGCCUCUACUCCAGUCUACUCCAGUACCCCUUCCCUGACCCCCGGGUCCCUCUUUUUUGUUUUCUCACUCUCUGUAGCACCUUCUACCACCAUCCACCCUCCUCCGUGUUUUAUUUAUUUUGUUGAUUUCUCCUUCAUUGAAAUGUCAGCUCCAGGCGGGCACGCAUCUUUGUUGUGUUCUCUGCUGACUAUAUCCUCAGCACCUAGAACUGUGUCUGUCACCUAAUAGAUGCUCAAUAAACCUGCCAGUAAUUUCAGCAAAUGAAACGUGGAACACGUCAAGGCCAGAGGAUGGAAAAGGCUCCAGUUUUGAUAAAAGGAGGCCUGCUUGGCUUGGAAUCCUCUCUCCUGCUGGUUGGGAGAUGCAAAGAUGUUUCCAGAGAGGGGCUGAUGAAUUGAGGGGAAAGAAAUGAGCCCAGUAUGAGUCCCCUUUCAGGGCUGAGCGUGUAUAAAACCAAACAACUUGGAACCGCUCCAAGAGAGGGGAUUAAAGCAACAUGUUAUUCUG